GGAUGUAGCUCAGUUGAUAGAGCGCUUGCCUUGCAUGCACAAGGCCCUGGGUUCAGUCCCCAGCACCA
rnacentral:tRNA from 1 species